rnacentral:misc_RNA from 1 species
GAUGAAGAACGUAGCGAAAUGCGAUAAGUAAUGUGAAUUGCAGAAUUCAGUGAAUCAUCGAAUCUUUGAACGCACAUUGCGCCCGCCAGCAUUCUGGCGGGCAUGCCUGUUCGAGCGUCAUUUCAACCCUCGAGUCCCCCCGGGGGCCUCGGUGUUGGGGGACGGCACACCAGCCGCCCCCGAAAUGCAGUGGCGACCCCGCCGCAGCCUCCCCUGCGUAGUAGCACACACCUCGCACCGGAGCGCGGAGGCGGUCACGCCGUAAAACGCCCAACUUUCUUAGAGUUGACCUCGGAUCAGGUAGGAAUACCCGCUGAACUUAAGCAUAUCAAUAAGCGGAGGA